rnacentral:misc_RNA from 1 species
UCGUAACAAGGUUUCCGUAGGUGAACCUGCGGAAGGAUCAUUACCGAGUGUUUGGAUGCCCCUUCUUGGGGUGUCCGUCCUCCCAUCCGUGUCUAUUGUACCCUGUUGCUUCGGCGGGCCCGCCCGCUUUGUGGCCGCCGGGGGGCUUCUGCCCCCGGGCCCGCGCCCGCCGGAGACCUCUCAACCAUUGAACACUGUCUGAAGGUUGCAGUCUGAGUACCGAUAAAGCAAAUCGUUAAAACUUUCAACAACGGAUCUCUUGGUUCCGGCAUCGAUGAAGAACGCAGCGAAAUGCGAUACGUAAUGUGAAUUGCAGAAUUCAGUGAAUCAUCGAGUCUUUGAACGCACAUUGCGCCCCCUGGUAUUCCGGGGGGCAUGCCUGUCCGAGCGUCAUUGCUGCCCUCAAGCACGGCUUGUGUGUUGGGCCCCCGUCCCCCCCCCUCUUUUCGGGGGGGACGGGCCCGAAAGGCAGCGGCGGCACCGUGUCCGGUCCUCGAGCGUAUGGGAAGCAACUUACUUUUGUCACCCGCUCCUGUAGGUCCGGCCGGCGGCCUGCCCCCAACCCUCAAUCAAUCUUUUAACCAGGUUGACCUCGGAUCAGGUAGGGAUACCCGCUGAACUUAAGCAUAUCA